rnacentral:rRNA from 1 species
UACGUAGGGUGCAAGCGUUGUCCGGAAUUAUUGGGCGUAAAGAGCUUGUAGGCGGUUUGUCGCGUCUGCUGUGAAAUUUCGGGGCUCAACCCCGAACUUGCAGUGGGUACGGGCAGACUAGAGUGUGGUAGGGGAGACUGGGAAUUCCUGGUGUAGCGGUGAAAUGCGCAGAUAUCAGGAGGAACACCGAUGGCGAAGGCAGGUCUCUGGGCCACUACUGACGCUGAGAAGCGAAAGCAUGGGGAGCGAACAGG